UACCAGCACCCCGAGUGGUCGGGACGAUUAUUGGGCCUAAAGCGUCCGUAGCCGGUUCUACAAGUCUUCCGUUAAAUCCACCUGCUUAACAGAUGGGCUGCGGAGGAUACUAUGGAGCUAGGAGGCGGGAGAGGCAAGCGGUACUUAGUGGGUAGGGGUAAAAUCCGUUGAUCCAUUGAAGACCACCAGUGGCGAAGGCGGCUUGCCAGAACGCACUCGACGGUGAGGGAUGAAAGCGGGGGGAGCAAACCGG
rnacentral:rRNA from 1 species